rnacentral:rRNA from 1 species
AUGGAUGUCAACCUUUCUGGUAAGCCAGAUACACUACACUGUAAACUUUAGGUGUCAGGGGUAUUCUCAGUGAAAUCAAUAUAUAUAGAUUUGAUAAAUUCUGGUCCAAUCCCAAAGUUACUUCACACUUGAAAAAUUAAGGUGCCUUUAAAGAUAAAAGUCUUUGUGUGGUUUGUUCACAAGGAAAUGAUCUUGACUAAGGAUAACUUGGCAAAACGUAGUUGGAAGGGUAGUAGAAGGUGUGAUUUCUGUGAUCAAGAUGAAUCGAUCCAACAUCUUUUUCUCAAAUACGCACUAGCCAAGCUACUGUGGCGCACAUUGUGGCCUUUAAUGUAA